rnacentral:rRNA from 1 species
UACGUAGGGUGCGAGCGUUGUCCGGAAUUAUUGGGCGUAAAGGGCUCGUAGGCGGUUUGUCGCGUCGGGAGUGAAAACCUCGGGCUUAACUCGGGGCUUGCUUUCGGUACGGGCAGACUGGAGGUAUGCAGGGGAGAACGGAAUUCCUGGUGUAGCGGUGAAAUGCGCAGAUAUCAGGAGGAACACCGGUGGCGAAGGCGGUUCUCUGGGCAUGACCUGACGCUGAGGAGCGAAAGUGUGGGGAGCGAACAGG